GAUGAAGAACGCAGCGAAAUGCGAUAAGUAGUGUGAAUUGCAGAAUUCAGUGAAUCAUCGAAUCUUUGAACGCACAUUGCGCCCUUUGGUAUUCCUUAGGGCAUGCCUGUUCGAGCGUCAUUUAAACCUUCAAGCUCAGCUUGGUGUUGGGUGACUGUCCGCUUCACCGCGGACUCGCCUCAAAAUUAUUGGCGGCCGGUACAUUGGCUUCGAGCGCAGCAGAAACGCGUACUCGGGGACCGGGCGCCCGCUCCCAGAAGCCAACCCACCCAGUUUGACCUCGGAUCAGGUAGGGAUACCCGCUGAACUUAAGCAUAUCAAUAAGCGGAGGA
rnacentral:misc_RNA from 1 species